GAUGAAGAACGCAGCGAAAUGCGAUAAGUAAUGUGAAUUGCAGAAUUCAGUGAAUCAUCGAAUCUUUGAACGCAUCUUGCGCUCCUUGGUAUUCUGAGGAGCAUGCCUGUUUGAGUGUCAUUAAAUUCUCAACUACACUGACUUUGAAUUGGUGUGGCUUGGAUUUGGGGGGAAAAUUGUUGUGGGCUUUUUGUAUAGUCUGCUCCCCUGAAAUUGAUUAGCGGUACCUUUGUGGAACUGUCUACAGGUGUGAUAAUUAUCUACAUCUUAGACAUCUGCUGGAAUGCUGCUUUCUAAACCUUACUUGUAUUGACAAUCUUGACCUCAAAUCAGGUAGGACUACCCACUGAACUUAAGCAUAUCAAUAAGCGCAGGA
rnacentral:misc_RNA from 1 species